UGGUCGAGUCGGCCUGCGCGGAAGAUGUAACGGGGGCUAAACCAUGCACCGAAGCUGCGGCAGCGACACUAUGUGUUGUUGGGUAGGGGAGCGUUCUGUAAGCCGUUGAAGGUGUCCUGUGAGGGGUGCUGGAGGUAUCAGAAGUGCGAAUGCUGACAUAAGUAACGAUAAAGCGGGUGAAAAGCCCGCUCGCCGGAAGACCAAGGGUUCCUGUCCAACGUUAAUCGGGGCAGGGUGAGUCGACUCCUAAGGCGAGGCCGAAAGGCGUAGUCGAUGGGAAACAGGUUAAUAUUCCUGUACUUGGUGUUACUGCGAAGGGGGGACGGAGAAGGCUAUGUCAGCCGGGCGACGGUUGUCCCGGUUUAAGCAUGUAGGCGGAGGUUCCAGGUAAAUCCGGUACCUUGUUAACGCUGAGGUGUGAUGACGAGGCACUACGGUGCUGAAGUGAUAAAUGCCCUGCUUCCAGGAAAAGCCUCUAAGCAUCAGGUAACACGAAAUCGUACCCCAAACCGACACAGGUGGUCAGGUAGAGAAUACCAAGGCGCUUGAGAGAACUCGGGUGAAGGAACUAGGCAAAAUGGUGCCGUAACUUCGGGAGAAGGCACGCUGAUAUGUAGGUGAAGCCCCUGCGGGCGGAGCUGAAAUCAGUCGAAGAUACCAGCUGGCUGCAACUGUUUAUUAAAAACACAGCACUGUGCAAACACGAAAGUGGACGUAUACGGUGUGACGCCUGCCCGGUGCCGGAAGGUUAAUUGAUGGGGUUAGCGGCAACGCGAAGCUCUUGAUCGAAGCCCCGGUAAACGGCGGCCGUAACUAUAACGGUCCUAAGGUAGCGAAAUUCCUUGUCGGGUAAGUUCCGACCUGCACGAAUGGCGUAAUGAUGGCCAGGCUGUCUCCACCCGAGACUCAGUGAAAUUGAACUCGCUGUGAAGAUGCAGUGUACCCGCGGCAAGACGGAAAGACCCCGUGAACCUUUACUAUAGCUUGACACUGAACACUGGUCCUUGAUGUGUAGGAUAGGUGGGAGGCUUUGAAGCGUGGACGCCAGUCUGCGUGGAGCCAACCUUGAAAUACCACCCUUUAAUGGCUGGUGUUCUAACGUAGACCCGUAAUCCGGGUUGCGGACAGUGUCUGGUGGGUAGUUUGACUGGGGCGGUCUCCUCCCAAAGAGUAACGGAGGAGCACGAAGGUUGG
rnacentral:rRNA from 1 species